rnacentral:tRNA from 1 species
UCCCUGGUGGCUCAGAGGGUAAAGCGUCUGCUUACAAUGCUGGAUACCCGGGUUCAAUCCCUGGGUCGGGAA